rnacentral:rRNA from 1 species
UGGGGAAUAUUGGGCAAUGGGGCGAAAGCCUGACCCAGCAACGCCGCGUGAGGGAAGAAGGGUUUCGGCUCGUAAACCUCUGUCCUAUGGGACGAAGGAAGUGACGGUACCAUAGGAGGAAGCCCCGGCUAACUACGUGCCAGCAGCCGCGGUAAUACGUAGGGGGCGAGCGUUGUCCGGAAUGAUUGGGCGUAAAGGGCGCGUAGGCGGCCUGGUAAGUCCGGAGUGAAAGUCCUGCUUUUAAGGUGGGGAUUGCUUUGGAUACUGUCGGGCUUGAGUGCAGGAGAGGAAAGCGGAAUUACCGGUGUAGCGGUGA